AUACGGAGGGUGCAAGCGUUAAUCGGAAUUACUGGGCGUAAAGCGCUCGUAGGCGGCUUGUUAAGUCGGAUGUGAAAGCCCCGGGCUCAACCGGGGAACUGCAUUCGAUACUGGCAAGCUAGAGUAUAGUAGAGGCAAGUGGAAUUCCGGGUGUAGCGGUGAAAUGCGUAGAUAUCCGGAGGAACAUCAGUGGCGAAGGCGACUUGCUGGACUAAUACUGACGCUGAGGAGCGAAAGCGUGGGGAGCAAACAGGAUUAGAAACCCGAGUAGUCC
rnacentral:rRNA from 1 species